AAUAAAGGCUUAUCACCCAAGUUUUAAAAAAAAAAUAAAUUUUUUUAAUUCAUCUAUUAACGACGAAUUUAAAUUGCAUUGCGGGUGGACUUUAAAAACUUCGGUCCUACUACAAAGUAUAAAAUUUUUCGACUAGUGAACCUCGCGCUCACUUCUAUGGUUAGUUCGCGGCUUUCGUCAAUGUGAGUACUAGGCUUAAAGUAGCAUAAGUACCUAUAACCAAGUACUCACAUCGAAGAAAACCGCGAGCUUACAAUAGGAGUGAACGAGAGGCAAAUUCGCGGCUAAAGCUUUUCGUCGGGUCUGCUUUUCAGCUCGGUACUUAGAUGAGCAGUGUGGACUUAAAAAAAUAAAAAUGGAAGGAAGACUCCAAAAACGCCUGCAGCAGGUCAGUGCAGAUGAAAAAGGACGCCUAAUCCAAGCUGAAGCAAGAUUACAACAGGGCAAGUCCGUGGAAUAGUUGAAGUGCUGGAUAAGAUCCACUAGAGAAUACCACUGGUAAAGAACAUGCCGAGUGGGACCUCGCUCCCAUCGACACCCUGCCAAGCGUCUCCUCACAAAUAAACAGAACCACCAGAACAGUCUCCGACGAGCUCUCCAUUGGCGAACCACAGUAAUCAAUCUCCACCAGGUACUUGGCUGCUAAAUCGGAGAUGGAGGAUUCACUGGCCUCCAUAGGGAGAAGGAACUGGGUUGCAGAUGGCGAAGUAUCCGUGAGACGAGAAGGAAGCUUAAAACAACUAAUUUUUAUAAAUAAAAC